UCCAGCGGUGUGAGAGUGCUGAAUGAGCAGCUACGAACUUGUUCACAAACUACAAACGCGACUAAGCUUUCACCGGCUUGUCGGCACAUGAGGAGCCGCUUCGGAUAAAGAGCAGUCUGGAUUUUGGGAGCCUUUGGCUGGAGAGCGACCCAAAGUUGGGCUGUUUCUGUUGGACAGGGCCUUUGGACCUCCUCCAUGUUGCUGACAAGCCUGGUUGUCUUGCAGCCAAUCAGACAGGGACCUGGACUGAGAGAGGGAGCAGGACUUGCUACACCCUCACUAUGCACUAUACACCCAAGUACCUGAACCUCAGGAUUAACGUCACCAUGGCAUGUCGAGGACAUAGUGAACAACUCCUGUCAUGUUGCAGAGAAGUGAUGACCUAUCUGCUUUACAUGGAGCUUUGGACCUCCAUCUUGUUGCUGUGAUGAGCAUGGUUGCCUUGCAGUUGGACAAAGACCUGGGCUGAGAGAGGGAGCAGACUGUCUCUAUUAUUGUGGAUGGACAUCAUUGUGGCAUGUCAAGGACAUAGUGAACCAGACUGUCAUGUUGCAGAGAUGUGAUGACUAAUCUGCAUUUCAUGGACCUUUGGACCUCCUCCAUGUUGCUGGGAUGAGCAUAAUUGCCCUGCAAGGACCAGGACUAAUGACAGCCUCACUAACACAUAGGGGCUAAAGAUGUCAAAGUACCUGAACUUCAGGAUGGACAUCAUUGUGGCAUGUCAAGGACAUAGUGAACCACUGUUGUCUUGUUGCAGAGAUGUGAUGACGCAUCUGCAUUUCAUGAGUUAAGACCAUUGACACAGAGAGGGAGACUGCCCUUUUAAACCUGUGAACACAUGAAUGAGGAAAAGCAACAACCUUGAUAAGAAGUGACUUCCAAGACCACCUUGACAUGCAUUUAUGCUGUCCAGAGUUCCCUGCAGCGCUGCAUUCCUUCUCAUCACAGUGACACAUUUUGGGAAUUAUCCCUCAAUGCUUUCCUGGAGUUCCACUGCCAGAGCUGCAACUGGAGCCCUGAACUUCCCAUGCCAAUGGGUCCUUCAACUCAGAGGAGGAAGAGACACCAAGGAUGGCGGGGGAGCCCUUUGUCCAAGCUGAGGUCUGGAAAACAUUCUGCUCCUCGCCCACAUACAGGCACUGGACAACAAAACCAAUGAUGCACUCUGUCACAUGAAGUCCAUCUCACAUGAGCAAUGAAGAACCUUGAUGAAAUAUCAGGUUCUUUUGAAGAGGAUGGUGUGGUGAUCUGUGAUGUUGGCACACUCAGAUCAGUAAGUGUCCUCUGGAUGUGUAGUGCAUCUUUGAUAACACUACACUCAAAAAAAAAAAAAAACACAAGACAAAAGGGAAACCGCUCUGGCCAGGAGGACGCUGCCUCCUGCAUAAAUAUCUAUGGAACGACUGCCUGGACUAGGAGGGCAUGCUCCCUUCUUUUUAACAAGGCCAGACGUCCACUCUGGUUUCCCAGCAGGCCAAAUGUACUGUUGCAGUAACUGUGUGCACUUAGAAACAGUAAGUAGCAAUAAAAAAGGCAGCAUAAACUGGGUAUGCACAGUUGUGUUAAGCCCUUUUAAAGUUAUGUCACAGGAAUAGAAUAUCUGGGGGAUAUUAGAGGACAGUAAGUGGGUAGAAAUUGGUAGCAGAGACAGAAAAAUGCUUCAGUCAAACAUUCCUCCAUGUAGGCCACCCAAAUAAGAAAACUCUAGACAUUUAUACAGUCCACAUGGUUCCUUGGCUCACAAAAGGUUCUGGAUCUUUACACGGUCAAAUUUUAAUAACCAAUAUUAAAGAGUAAAUGAAAUUAAGUCCUUUGUCUAAUAACCUAAAAAAUCUAUCACUUUAAUCAAUUUGAUAAAAAAAAAGAUAAAACUGCAUAAAAAAUGAAAAUUCCUUAAAUUGCAGAAGCUGCUGGUGAGGUUAAAGUGGAAAUUUGGUGGGUGUGGCACCAUCAGUAGGGCCCGUCCAGGCUGCUACAGGAUGGCCGGGACCAAAAAUGAGUGCUGCCUGUUGAGCUUUCGGCCAUAUUCAGCUUUGAGGCCAGGGCUACGCCUGUACCUCGCGCCGCUGUGUGACCGCAGCGAUCACAGAAGGCCACACACUGCCGAGGCUUCAUCAGCUGCUUCCUGUCUGUGUCCUCAGUCUGUUUCACAGCCUGGGCAGCUGCAACUGUAGACACCGCGGUGGUCUGAGCCAGGGCGUAGAGUUCCUGGCCUCAUUUUUGUCCUGACUCGACCUGUGGCGUGGUCAUCCAAGGCACUGUCACAACCACAAGACACAAAUGUGUUAGAUGAUGUGGUGUUUGGUUUGUGCUGGUUGUCGAGUGGCCACAGGUAGGUUUGACUGUAACUUAGUGUUUGUGUAGUCAGGUGUUUAGGUGUCCACCUGUGGAAAGCUGACUUCCUGGGCACAGUGAAAGAAACAUCUCAGACAGACUUGUGAUCAUCUGCUUCCUGGUUGGUUUUCAUUUGCAUUCAGGGUUGGGGUGAGAGAAGCAUCUGCACUGAUCGUUAGCUGUCUGUCUGUGGGUUAUCCUGGAGGGUCUUGUCAUGCCCAUUGUCCCUGUGCAUGGUGCUUUACAGGACCAGUGAGGCUUGAGGUGUAGAGUCUUGUGUCUGGGCGUAUUGUGACUGCAGAAAACGCCUUGGUGUCCUGACAGCUCAGAAUCCCGAAACCAUAUAAUUGUGUACCUUUUACACAAACCCCUGAGCUCUCGGUACAUCAUGGUUCUGUGGUUGCUGUAUGCUAAGAUGCAGGACUCUCCCUUAAGCCUCGCAGGCCUUGUGGACACCAGGCAUGGGGAUUUGGGUUUGAGAAGACUCCUCAGGACAACCUGUAGACAGAUGGCUGACUGAUUAGUGUGCAUGGUUCUCUGAUUCUGACCCUUGAAUGUCAGUGAGACUACCAGGUUGUGGCUGAUCACAUCUUUGCCAGAGAUGGAUCUUUUCACCGUGCACAGGAACUCAAAUUUUCACAGUGGGAUGUUUGUUUGUUGGGAUCUGUUGUGAUCCAGUGGGACAGGUUUAGUCAGCUGUUUCAGUUGUGUCACGUUUAAGGUGAUAGGGUCUUUUCCCAGUGGAAGUAGCACAGGGUGUAGUGUUGGCACGUGAGUGCCGGACUGUUAGAGUAGCAUCUUGUGCCCUUUGCAUGCAGCAUCUGUGGGUAGUGUCUGGUUGUCCUUCUGGCUCAGGGGUUUGUUAGAGGUACGCUUUUAUAAGGUUUCGGGAUUCUGAGCCUGUGGGAUGACUAGAUGCCACCUGCACCUGCCGUUUUCAAAGCAGCAAGAUGGUUAGAUUAAGGUUUUACUGGCCUACAGAGUUCCUAGUCUAGGGCUUCAGGAGGAGAGGCAUUUCUUGGUGUGACAUGCCUCUGCUCUUGGUUUGUCUGAUGGUGAGUUGAUGGUUGUGUAAAGUUUUCGGCUGCAGUUUCUAGAGGGGAUGAAAUCCCUGCUGGUUAUGAACCUGAGGGUUUCUCUGUUUCUUUGUUGAUCAUUGAGUGGCCAUAGCUAACAGUGUUUAAAGGUAGGGUAGUUUGUCAUCAUAGCUGGUAGAUCACCCGAGUGAAAGGUUGGCAGAUAUCUUAGUGGUUGUGUAGUCAGGUGUUAGAUGCAUGCUUUAGACACUCGGGUGAAGGCUGGAGCAGAGCUGUCCACCUGUGGAAGGCUGACUUCCUGGGCACAGUGAAAGAAACAUCUCAGACAGACUUGUGAUCAUCUGCUUCCUAGUUGGUUUUCAUUUGCAUUCAGGGUUGGGGUGAGAGAAGCAUCUGCACUGAUCGUUAGCUGUCUGUCUGUGGGUUAUCCUGGAGGGUCUUGUCACACCCAUUGUCCCUGUGCAUGGUGCUUUACAGGACCAGUGAGGCUUGAGGUGUAGAGUCUUGAGUCUGGGCGUAUUGUGACUGCAGAAAACGCCUUGGUGUCCUGACAGCUCAGAAUCCCGAAACCAUAUAAUUGUGUAACUUUUACACAAACCCCUGAGCUCUCGGUACAUCAUGGUUCUGUGGCUGCUGUAUGCUAAGAUGCAGGACUCUCCCUUAAGCCUCGCAGGCCUUGUGGACACCAGGCAUGGGGAUUUGGGUUUGAGAAGACUCCUCAGGACAACCUGUAGACAGAUGGCUGACUGAUUAGUGUGCAUGGUUCUCUGAUUCUGACCCUUGAAUGUCAGUGAGACUACCAGGUUGUGGCUGAUCACAUCUUUGCCAGAGAUGGAUCUUUUCACCGUGCACAGGAACUCAAAUUUUCACAGUGGGAUGUUUGUUUGUUGGGAUCUGUUGUGAUCCAGUGGGACAGGUUUAGUCAGCUGUUUCAGUUGUGUCACGUUUAAGGUGAUAGGGUCUUUUCCCAGCAUCUUGUGUUAGCCUGUUAGCCUGUGCCUGUUCCUAGCUGCUUGUAUGUCUUUUUGAUUGAUUGAUGGUUUAUUAUGUGAUCCAUUGGUCACAGUUAGGUGAUAGGGUGCUUCUGAUAGACAUGGUUUGUGGCAGUGAGCAUAGACUCAGGAUUACUGCUGUGCAUUAGCAGAGAUGACAGGUUGUUAGAGUAGCAUCUUGUGCCCUUUGCAUGCAGCAUCUGUGGGUAGUGUCUGGUUGUCCUUCCGGCUCAGGGGUUUGUUAGGUACGCUUUUAUAAGGUUUCGGGAUUCUGAGCCUGUGGGAUGACUAGAUGCCACCUGCACCUGCCGUUUUCAAAGCAGCAAGAUGGUUAGAUAAAGGCUUUACUGGCCUUGCAAGACAGUGUUAGUGUAGAUUAAAACUUUUUUGACUUUUAGGUUUUGUAAGAAUUAUUGGAUCUAAGUGAGGAAGUUUAGUUGAAACUGCAGCCCCACAAUGCCUUUGUGUUUUGUGUGUCUGACUAGUCCACCGGUGAUCAUGUGACAGGCCUGGACUUGGCGAAUCUGAGGCCAGUAACUAUGUGUCAUGGUGAAGACUUCCUCGGGGUCUGUGCUCUGCACUGUUCAGGUUGUGUGAUGGUCUGACAACAUUCCAUUACAGACAUCACAUUUUUUCAUUUGUUUAAUUCCAUCUCUGGCUGUUUCCUGGCAUCUGGAAGCCACAUUGUUGCUGAUAUUAAGCUCGGGGUGGUGUUGCCUCUAGUGAUCGUUAAAGCGCUCCUCAGCAGCUCGAUGUACAGGUUUCACCCUGACCUCUCUGCUGGAUGUGGCCAGAGGCUCUACAGGCAGCAACAAUGGGGUCUCGGUCCUCCUGUUGCAGCCUGGGCUGGACGACACGGGGUGCCACAUCCACAACCUCACCAGCAGCUUCUGUCGAGGAAGCUGGGGCCAUUAUGAAAAUGGCCUCAGCUUCCUCGACAGGAGGGCCAAGGUAGCUGAGGGCCGUUACUAAAACAGCCCCCAGCUACCUCGGCGGGGGGUCCAAGGAGGUCGUAGGGCCUUCUACUAAAAUGGCCCCCAGCUUUCUUGGCUUGAGGGCUGUCUACUUCAUUAGCUAAAAGCUUUAGCCGUUCCCUUUGGAAGAGCUUCUAGGAAGCUCUUCCUGAUCUAGGAAGGGUUGGUCUUACCCUCACAGCCUUCCUAGAUCAGGAUUCACAGAACUGGUGCUGAACUACUGGUUGACAAAAAGAUUGAGUGGUACAGUCAGCACACAGUAUAUUGGCUGCCUUUAAAACACAAUGCUACUUUCAUUAUACAAGGAAUGAGUGAAUUCCACCACAUGGGUUCACUUUCAGUGUGCACACAGUGAAAUGCAGCAUGUCUUGUUUGCUUGGCCUUGCAUAGCAGUGUCAUCUCAUCGAAUUAUCUGUUUUUUCACAAUGAAACCUCACGAGUGCCAGCUGGCCAGUGUGUUUGAUCUCUGCUACUACUAUAUCUCUACGUCUGCCUGAACAAACAUUUUCAGACUGCUCAGUGUUUGGGGGGGGGGAGGUCUCACACUCAUCUAGUAUAGAUUCAAUAGUUAACCGCAUUAUCCCUGAAGUAGGGGCAAAACUACAGGAUUGGAUAAAUGUUAGGCCUAUUUUUGUUUGGAUUUAUCUUUAUUUUCAUUAACUCUUAAUUUUGUUUUGUUGGUUUUCUGGAUUUUUAGUUGGUUGUAGGGCAAAAUAUCAGAUUGCAAAAUGUGCAAUUUUUAUUCAACCUGAAUGUGUCAAAUACCAUUUAAUACAUCUUGCAAGCAUUUGUUUGUUUUUCUAGAAUAAUUUGCAAAAAUGAUUUGUUCCCUUCAGUACAAAAAAAUUGUAUCAAAUUUGCAGUACAAGUCAAAAUAUUUAUUUUAAGUUGGUUGUUUUUGCAGAAUUUUUCAGCCCUAGUGUUAUGUACUCAAUAUGGUAUUUGUUAUAAUACAGAAUCAUUUAUUGCUCUGUUUUAUUAAAACACAAGAUGACGGAUUUAAAAAUCCCAUAUUAAAUGGCAAGUUAAUAAUUUUGCACCAAACUAGGACUGAGGAUUUGGGAAAAUUUAUCAUAAUAUAUUUUGUUACAUUUUGUUGAGUCUAGAGUUUUUCUAUCAUGAUAAUUUGCUUUUCUAUUAUCUUCUAAUUUUUUCCAUUUUAGUCCAACUGCCUUGUUUCCUUGUCACAAUGCGUUAAUGGCAUUUCCUCAAUUUAACGUUUUAUCUUUGUUUCACUAUUAUUUUUUGUUGUUCAAGUUUUUAAGUUGUCAUGUAAAGUGUUAUCACAAUGAACUUUUAUUGGAUAAUCUCACAUCUCUAGAUUGUUUCUGUCGGUCUUUUCAGUUGCUGGUAUUGACCGAUAAUCCUGAGGAGUCAAUAACUGUAGUGUAAAUCCUGCAGCCAUUAUAUGGUUGCAGGAUUUACGCUACAGUGGUGUCUCCUGUUGCCUGCUGACUGUGACAGCAGCAGAGAUUGUUGGAUUAAAAAUGUUGGCUGUAAUUUGAUAAAUCUAACUUUAGUUAAAAAUUAUCUGAUUCUGGUUGCUUUACCAGCAGCUAACAAUUUUAAUCCAACCAUCUAUUGGUACAUGCAGUUUUAACUUACCUGUUUUUGCAAGCAGAGUUAUGAGAUUACUUUAGGAAACAUCUUGGGAUGCAUGAUAGUGGUUUUUUUUUUGUUCUGAUAUGUUGACAUUUACAGAUUGAUUCUGAUAGCAGUAUGGAUACCAAUAUUUACAUGUUUUACAAACCUAAAAAUCGACUAUUUUGUAGUUUAUAUGGCCAAAAUUUAUAGUCAAUGUAUACUGAUAUUCUCAGCCAAAAUACCAGCUGUAAAUCUCAUCAGUAACUAAAAAAUGGCAAAUACCAGCAGAUGUCAAACUUUCUAUCUGCUCAUACUGAUAUCAGACUGUUAAUAUCAUGCAUCCCAAGAAACCUCUACAGAUCACUCAAGAACAGUUGGUAAUAUACUAAGUAACUUUAAAAACACACAUUGAAAUUCAUGAAUAUAUUACUUGUAAUUCAUGAACUUUAUUUCCAAUUAUAGUUAUUAUUCUUAUUGCACACAUCUUGUGGGAGACAUGCACACAAAAAUCAGGAAUCAAGGAAACAGUUUAUUCAAUCACGCAAUAAAAAGUUGACAAUACCA